rnacentral:rRNA from 1 species
CGACGGCAAUCGAAGAACCUUACAGGGUUUGAAUGUAUCUGCAUGCCUUAUGGAAAAUAGGGAGGGCCUUCGAGGGUGAUACACAGGUGCUGCAUGGCCGCCGUCAGCUCGUGUCGUGAGGUGUAGGGUUAAGUCCCGAAACGAGCGCAACCCUAUUCUAUGUUACAAGUGUCUUAGAAAACCGCCUCGGUAAAACGAGGAGGAAGGUGGGGAUGACGUCUGGUCCGCAUAGCCCUUAUGUCCUGGGCCACACACGCGCUACAAUGGCCGAUACAGUAGGAAGCCAAAUCGUAAGAUGGAGCUAAUCCUUAAAGUCGGUCUCAGUUCGGAUUGAGGUCUGAAAUUCGACCUCAUGAAGUUGGAUUUGCUAGUAAUCGUAGAUCAGCAAUGCUACGGUGAAUACGUUCUCGGGUCUU